rnacentral:lncRNA from 1 species
AAGUUCAUCAUCUUUAGACUUAAGGAAUUAACAAGGGUCAGGGAGACUACACCAGGCUGAGGGCUUCUUGGUUCCUGGAGACAUGCCCAGCUACAGCAAACACAGGGAAACACGAAGGGGGCAGCUGGAAGAUUUGGUCUUGAACUUGGGGGGUGGGUAAGUGAUGAUCCCCACGACUGGAGCAGCAGGAAGAAGUUGUGUCUGAGGAAGUGCUGGGCCGCCCAGAGGGACAGCCCUGCCCUGGAGCUUGUCGCCGGGAGGGAAGGGAAACAAGCCCCCUCCCUCAGUGCUGAGGAAAAGGCACUUGGCUGGGUCUCCUCCUGCCCUCUCCCCAUCCGUGGGAGAGACGGGGUCCUUGCCUCCUUGCCCCUUUCAGCCGCCCAGAAGCCGGUCCUGGUUCAGCCUCUGGAAGAAGCUUUUGCCGAACUCAUAGGUGCUGAUCAUGAUGGCACAGGAGGGGGCAGCCUUGAUGAUCCGAGGAAGGAAGCCUGCAGUGCAAAGAGUCCCUUGGUGCC